UACGUAGGGGGCUAGCGUUGUCCGGAUUUAUUGGGCGUAAAGAGCGUGUAGGCGGCCAAGUAGGUCCGGUGUGAAAACUCGAGGCUUAACCUCGAGAUGUCAUCGGAAACCAUUUGGCUAGAGUCCGGAAGAGGAAAGUGGAAUUCCUGGUGUAGCGGUGAAAUGCGUAGAUAUCAGGAGGAACACCGGUGGCGAAGGCGGCUUUCUGGACAGAAACUGACGCUGAUGCGCGAAAGCUAGGGGAGCAAACAGG
rnacentral:rRNA from 1 species